CUGCAUUGUAAAAUUAUAAUGUAACCAGAUAUUGGAGGAAUGAAGAGUGAGAUAUGUUGAUCAUAGGACUUUAAAAACACAAACUCAUCUCACAAGUUUCAAAGCGAUGGUGCUUUUUUUUUUUUUUAUUAAUUCAUCUUUUGUUAGAUACUACAAAUAAUUGUGUAAAAUUGUGUAUAAAAAUUGUACCAGAAAAAAAAAGGCUUUCGUUAAAAAGAUAGCGAGAACAAAUAAAGUUAUAUAUAGUAAUAUAAUAUAAAAUUCAAGCAAAAAAAUUAUAUUUUAUAACAAAAUAAGCAGAAGCAAAACAGCAGUUGUUUAACAUAUAGAAUAACAUAUUGAAAAGCAUAUUGAGUAACAUUGAAUAACAUAUUGUUAUGAACCUCAUGUGAUUUGAAAUAGAACACUGUUUCACUUGUUUAGUCAAGAUUUAACUUCUUCAGUAUCUUCUAUGUAUAUAAUUCUCUACGUGCGGGACGUCGACUCUCUAACCCUCGAUGAAAAGUAAUGGAAAGAUAACUUUUAUUUCUGCAAGUUGGACUAAUGUUACCUCACACAAAUUUCGCGGCGACAGAGAGCGCGGCUCAGAAAAAAAGGAAGAGAAAAACAGGUCUACGUCGCCCAACCAUGCGGAACACCACGCACGCACGCUGAAUCUCUAGCCCUCAUCCUGCCCACUCCCUCUUGCACCAGUGCCUUCCUCGCCCUCCAGGCAUCCGCACACAGUCUUUUGCUCAGACCCACCCCAUUUGGAGAAGAGUGUCUCUAAGGAAGUGUUCACAGUCACCAAAUAGCGGCUUAUGCUACGCCGCGGGUAGGCUAGUUCUUAAUAAGCCAUGACAUAUUUAUAGAAUGCUUCAAAGGUCGUGUGGUAUGCUUUCUAGAUUGUCAUGACAAUAGUUGCAAAUUCAAAACCUGUCCUCUACCUCCUCUCCCCCCCCCCCCCCA